UACGUAGGGUGCAGGCGUUAAUCGGAAUUACUGGGCGUAAAGCGUGCGCAGGCGGUUUGCUAAGUCAGGUGUGAAAUCCCCGGGCUUAACCUGGGAACUGCGCUUGUAACUGGCAAGCUAGAGUGUGGCAGAGGGGGGUGGAAUUCCAGGUGUAGCAGUGAAAUGCGUAGAUAUCGGAAGGAACAUCAGUGGCGAAAGCGACUUCCUGGACCAGUACCGACGUUCAGGCACGAAAGCGUGGGGAGCAAACAGG
rnacentral:rRNA from 1 species